rnacentral:rRNA from 1 species
AGGACUAACGCUGGCGGCGUGCCUAACACAUGCAAGUCGGACGGACGUAGCAAUACGUUAGUGGCAGACGGGUGAGUAACACGUAGAUAACGUACCCCUCCGCUGGGGAUAGCCACUGGAAACGGUGGGUAAAACCGAAUAUUCUUCAAUAUGGGCAUCUAUGUUGAAGGAAAACUUUGGUGUGGAGGGAUCGGUUUGCGACCUAUCAGCUAGUUGGUGAGGUAACGGCUCACCAAGGCGACGACGGGUAACCGGUCUGAGAGGACGGUCGGUCACACUGGCACUGAGAUACGGGCCAGACUCCUACGGGAGGCAGCAGUGAGGGAUUUUGCACAAUGGAGGAAACUCUGAUGCAGCGACGCCGCGUGCGGGACGAAGCCGUUUCGGGGUGUAAACCGCUGUCAGGUGGGGAAGAGGUAGGGACGGUACCACUGAGGAAGCAUCGGCUAACUACGUGCCAGCAGCCGC